rnacentral:rRNA from 1 species
AGUGAACGCUGGCGGCAGGCCUAACACAUGCAAGUCGAACGGCAGCACAGUAAGAGCUUGCUCUUACGGGUGGCGAGUGGCGGACGGGUGAGGAAUACAUCGGAAUCUACUUUUUCGUGGGGGAUAACGUAGGGAAACUUACGCUAAUACCGCAUACGACCUACGGGUGAAAGCAGGGGAUCUUCGGACCUUGCGCGACUGAAUGAGCCGAUGUCGGAUUAGCUAGUUGGCGGGGUAAAGGCCCACCAAGGCGACGAUCCGUAGCUGGUCUGAGAGGAUGAUCAGCCACACUGGAACUGAGACACGGUCCAGACUCCUACGGGAGGCAGCAGUGGGGAAUAUUGGACAAUGGGCGCAAGCCUGAUCCAGCCAUUCCGCGUGGGUGAAGAAGGCCUUCGGGUUGUAAAGCCCUUUUGUUGGGAAAGAAAAGCAGCAGGUUAAUACCCCGCUGUUCUGACGGUACCCAAAGAAUAAGCACCGGCUAACUUCGUG